CUGCGGGGUCGUGGGACGUCUCACGUGGAGUUACAAAAGACACCUGUAGGUGAACGGUCUGGGAAGGCCGACCAGAGAGCGUGACAGUCGCGUAACCCAAACAGGUGUCUCUCCGAGACGGAUCCCGAGUAGCACGGGACACGUGAAAUCCCGUGUGAAUCUGGCAGGACCAUCUGCUAAGGCUAAAUACUCCCUAGCGACCGAUAGCGAACCAGUACCGUGAGGGAAAGGUGAAAAGCACCCCGGGAGGGGAGUGAAAGAGAACCUGAAACCGUGUGCUUACAAAUAGUCGGAGCCCGUUUUAGGGGUGACGGCGUGCCUUUUGUAGAAUGAACCGGCGAGUUACGGUAGCGUGCGAGGUUAAGUCGAAGAGACGGAGCCGCAGCGAAAGCGAGUCUGAACAGGGCGACAGUACGCUGCCGUAGACCCGAAACCGUGUGAUCUAGCCAUGUCCAGGGUGAAGGUAGGGUAACACCUACUGGAGGCCCGAACCCACGCACGUUGAAAAGUGCGGGGAUGAGGUGUGGCUAGCGGUGAAAUUCCAAUCGAACUCGGAGAUAGCUGGUUCUCCCCGAAAUAGCUUUAGGGCUAGCCUCGGAAUGAGAGUCUUGGAGGUAGAGCACUGAUUGGGCUAGGGGCCCUCAUCGGGUUACCGAACUCAGUCAAACUCCGAAUGCCAACGACUUAUGUCCGGGAGUCAGACGAUGAGUGCUAAGAUCCAUCGUCAAGAGGGAAACAGCCCAGACCAUCAGCUAAGGUCCCCAAGUGUACGUUAAGUGGGAAACGAUGUGGAGUUGCCCAGACAACCAGGAUGUUGGCUUAGAAGCAGCCACCAUUUAAAGAGUGCGUAAUAGCUCACUGGUCGAGUGACUCUGCGCGGAAAAUGUAACGGGGCUAAACGUACCACCGAAGCUAUGGCAGUCCUUCGGACUGGGUAGGGGAGCGUUCCAAGCAGCGGCGAAGCCGUACCGGAAGGAGCGGUGGAGCGCUUGGAAGUGAGAAUGCCGGUGUAAGUAGCGAAAAGACAAGUGAGAAUCUUGUCCACCGAAAGCCUAAGGGUUCCUGGGGAAGGCUCGUCCUCCCAGGGUUAGUCGGGACCUAAGCUGAGGCCGAAAGGCGUAGGCGAUGGACAACAGGUUGAUAUUCCUGUACCACCUCCAUUCCGCUUGAGCAAUGGCGUGACGCAGGAGGAUAGGGCGAGCGGCCUGCUGGAUGGCCGUCCAAGCAGCAAGCCUGGUGUGUAGGCAAAUCCGCACACCGCCAAGGGCAAGCUGUGAUGGCGAGGGAAAUGCAAGUACCGAAGUCCCUGAUUUCACACUGCCAAGAAAAGCGUCUAGCGAGGAAUGAGGUGCCCGUACCGCAAACCGACACAGGUAGGCGAGGAGAGAAUCCUAAGGUGCGCGGGAGAACUCUUGCUAAGGAACUCGGCAAAAUGGCCCCGUAACUUCGGGAGAAGGGGCGCCCCGGUAGGGU
rnacentral:rRNA from 1 species